ensembl:lncRNA
CCCAGAGCCGACCUGAGAUCAGACAACGUACAGAGCCGACUCUGAGAUCAGACAACUCCCAUAGCCGACUCUGAGCUCAGACAACACCCAGAGCCGACCUGAGAUCAGACAACAGCAGCAGUACCAACUGACAUCAAACAACACCGUCCGGAACCGAGUCCAGCAGAGAGGACCGUCGGACGUCCCAGCGUCACUUAAAGUUGUUCCAAGUAACUUACCCCCACCGCGGUGGUUCCCGACCGGCUGAGGCUGUAGCGGUGACACGGGCACUAUGUUGGCUUAAAACUUCUGCAGUCGUCAUGGCUGGGAGAGGGACGGUUGUUUUGGGCGGGAGAGUUCCGACGCCUCGAGCGUGACUAUGCUGGAGCACGAGCCCGGAGGCACCGACAGGCGAAGGGUCCAGCAGAUCACCGCGGCGGGGAUGAAGAUCCAGCAGCCGGGCAUGUGCAGCGGCGGCGGCUGCGGCGGCGGGGCCGACCACGGCGGGUGUAAAGGCGGGGACGGUGGCUGCGACCGCGGCGUGUCCCUGCAGCGGCCCCCCGAGGAGGGGGCACCGGGGGUACCGGGGGGGCAAGGCAGCCCGCGGGCAAUCGCCGGGCGCCUCUCGUCAGGUUCCGCAGACCGUGAGCUCAGCAGCGGCAGCUACAACGCCUCCACAGGAACCUUCUACAGCUGUGUCAGUCAGAUCACCAUUGGCUUCGAUGGCGGGGUCAGAUGGCCAUCUUUAUCUCCCAUUG